AGUAUAUAUAUAAUGCCGAAGAGAAGGUAGGGUUUCUUUAGGUUUCCGUACCUUCUUGUUGAGCACUGUGGCGCAAUUCACCUUGCUGCGGUUGGUGGUGGCGAUGGAGAUUGCAGCGUGGCUGAAGGGAACCUACUGGGUUGGUGACAUUUACAAGAGAGUCUUGAAGAUUUUCCAGAACGGGAAAGGAAGCCAUCAUUCUUUAAAGGGCAAUGACCGAGCAGUACCAGCAGAAAUUGAAGUACCAGCAGAAGGCUAAGAAGGGAUCAUGGCACAAGUUGCAGUUUCCACCCUGCCCAUUGAAGAUGAGGAGUCCAUGGAAGAUGAGGAGUCUGUUGAAGACGAGGAGUCCGUUGAAGAUGAGUCCGCGGAGAGCAGGAUGCUGGUGAUAUUGCUCAUAUCAGCUCUCGAGUCCACGGAUCAUGGCACAAGUUGCAGUUUCCACCCUGCCCAUUGAAGAUGAGGAGUCUGUUGAAGAUGAGGAGUCCUUGGAGAGCAGGGGGAGAGUGUCUUUAGAGCAAGAAGUCUUGUCUUCUCCGUGCUCAGCCAGGAAGAAAACCUGUUUGACUUUGUUUCUCAUUGGGUUUUCUUGCUUUGCAACUAAUACAAAGCAGGGAAAAACCUGUUAAUUACCAGUGACAAAAACAGGACGCUUGCUUCCCUUCCUCCUGCCCUUGGACAUCAGACUCCAGGUUCUUACGCCUUUGAACUCUGGGACUUGCACCAGCGGCUUCCCCAAGGCUCUCAGGCCCUCGGCCUCAGACUGAAGACUGCACUGCGGGCUUUCCUGGUUUUGAGGCUUUUGGACUUGGACUGAGCCAUUACUAGCUUCUCUCUUUCCCUACCUGGCAGACAGCCUGUUGUGGGACUUUACCUUGUAACUGUGUGAGCCAAUUCUCUCUCGUAAACUCCCUUAUACAUAUACGUGUAUCCUGGUGGUUCUGUCCCUCUGGAGAACCCUGACUAAUAGAUUUUAUUUUUUCUCCGCUGCCCUUUCCUCCUCUUCUAGGCUUACCUAGACCACCACCAUUCUUUCCCCUUUUCUAAAGUAAAAGUUGUUUUUUUCUUGCUAAAUGCAUGGUAUUCUGCCUGUUUUCCAUGACUUCCUUCAGCCCUGCUCUGUUUAUUCUUGCUCUCUUAAGAGGAAAUCCCUGCCUCUUCUGUGGCUUUUCCCUCUUGGUCUACGUACUGCUUUCUAUUGUUCUCAGAGGCACACUGAGACCUUUUACAUCUCACUGUCACUUCUUGGAAGGGCUCUCUCUACCUCGUCUGCCUGCUGAGCAACCUCUUGGGGAGACACGGGCACUCUUGAGUCACUGAACUUGGGCUGUUUGGUGUUGGUAUGUUAAUUUAUCUUCUUAGACCACUUACCACUUCCUUAACUUGAAAAGAGAAGAAUAAUUAUUUUUUUCCAUGGUUGAUAUGAAGAGUAGAAAUAACUUAUACAAAAUGCAUUGCAGUUAAGUGAUGAUAAAUGGCCAUGAAUGCCCUUAUUAAUGUUAUUCUAUCAGCCUCAGCUCAGAUACCAUUUGCUCUGUGAGCUCUGCUCUGAAUCAUAUCUGCUUCUUCUCUGGGUUCCUUGUGCUCUGUUCUUAACUACUUUAAAGCAGUAAUUGUUCUGAUUCUAAUUAGUGAUCCUUCCCAAUAAAAUUUUAAUUUUGUAGAUCUCUUCCCCCCACCCCUGCCCCAGCCUAACCAGUGUUUUCUUAUUUUUUGUGUACAGGCUAUAUCACUGGUCUUCUUUUAUUUGUGGCUAAAUAAAUGUUGUGUUGGAAGAGUAAAGAGUUCCCAGUUCCAUGGGAUCUAUAGUUCUACAAAAUGAAUAUAUACAUAAUCCAUGUAAAUAUUUCACUUUUUAGACAAUUUUUUAAUUUUUAAAUGUAAUUUGUGCAUGUUUGUAUGUUAGUGAGACCAAAGAUGGUGGCGGCAGGGAGGAGGGGGGGGUCUCACCAUGUUGCCCAGGCUGGUCUUGAACUCCCCUUCAACUGCUCCCCUCCUCACCUGGCCCCCCUCACCUUGCCUCCUCCCCUCUCACUCCUAUGCCAGCCCCUGCCAUUCCCCACCCCCUCUGUAGACUGCAAGACUCAACAAGUGACUUGCUGAGCAAAGCCUGCCGAGAAGAGGUCUGUUUAGGGACACGGGAGGCCAAGUACACAAAAAGGCAAAAGAACUAGCAUGCCUUUUUCAAUGGAUGUCUGUUUUACAGGGCUGGCUUCAGAUUGUUGUUAUAGCUUUAAAUAAAAGGACCGUUUUGUCAUCUC